rnacentral:rRNA from 1 species
UACGUAGGUGGCGAGCGUUGUCCGGAUUUAUUGGGCGUAAAGCGCGCGCAGGCGGUGCGGUAAGUCCGUCGUGAAAUCUCCCGGCUCAACUGGGAGGGUGCGGUGGAGACUGCCGGACUGGAGGCACUCAGAGGCCGGUGGAAUUCCCGGUGUAGUGGUGAAAUGCGUAGAGAUCGGCAGGAACACCCAGGGGGAAACCAGUCGACUGGGCAUCUACGUGACGCU